rnacentral:tRNA from 1 species
GCCGCAAUGGUGGAAUUGGUAGACACGCUGGUCUUAGGAACCAGUGCUUCACGGCGUGGGGGUUCGAGCCCCUCUUGCGGCA